CCUCCCUCACUCUAAAUUCUAAUCAAUCUAAGCCUCCACAGAUCCGGUGCUUUUUUCCCCCCGUCUCACUUCCUCUGUCACCGCAGACCGUGUCCCCGGCUCUGCUUCUUCUACCUUUGACCUUUAUCUAUCAGCGCAGCCCGUCUCCUCACUUUGCGUUGAAAUCCCCAUAGAUUUGGUCACAAGAAUCUCAGCGUCUCCUGAAGCAGAUAAAAAAGAAAUACUUCCAUGGCUGAGUGAACAGACAAACAAACAGCUAAACGAAUGUUUGCACAAGCAAAUAGCUGCUCGGCUGGAUUAAUGAAUGGACACGUAUAGAGAAUGGAGGGAGGGAUCGUUGCAGGAAUUCAUCCAUUUGGUUUCCAUCCUAGCCCCAAGGCCCUGGGAAUGUAAUUGCUUCAUGCAUAGUUGAUACACUGCAUAAUCAACCGAAUACACUAGAUUUUCCCACUGUUUAUGUAGAACGCUGCACUUGUGCACUCGCAGGUCAUUGGUGGAGUUUAGAUUCCAUGGGAGGUGUCUCGCAGCGAAAAAGGGCUUAUUCAUAUCUCAGUGCUCAUCUCUCGCCUUUCGAAUGGCCAGAUACACGCGGGACUCGUGAAAAGCGCGCUGUCCUGUAGUCGAAUCAGAUCCACGUUGUGUUUUAUUCAUACAAAACAAGGAUGAAAUAUUCAUAACAGAUUUUGAGCAGCGCUCUCUCCUGCGCCUCGUACCUCUCGUGCACGAAUUCUAAUUAAAAAUCUGAUGGGUUUUUUUUUUUUUGCUUCCUUUGUUUAGGAGCAUCAGUAUAAUGCAAAUGGAUGGAAGGAGCUCCCAGUGGGCAUCGGCAGUUUGUGUUCAUGCGGCAUGCCAAUGCACGACGCAUGAAGCUACCUCGACACGGAACAGGCGAGCCGAACAUGCUGCACUACACAGAGAGACGGAUUUCUCCUCUGUUGAUGGAAGCCUGGGAUGAGAGACGCAUGCCAAAGACCAUCACAGCGUAGCGUUUCCACGCGGGCGCCAAGGAGCGCGCCCGCGCCGCGCAAUUCCUUCCGCAGACGUAUAGGAACAGAUAAGCUUGACUGGCCAUUCAUAGCGGCGGACCCGCACAGCCGGGCGGCGCCGCACACGACCAGGAACAGCGGGACGCAAAAUGCUUUUGCUUCACGAGGUGAAUGAACAGCCACAGCCUGAGGGAGGAAAAAUUACAGGCAGCAAAGCCUUCAUUUUGUAUCGGGAAGGUGUGCUCACACUGCUUUUGUGGAGCAGCAGGGACGUGUCAGGGGCAAAGUCCCCAUGUCUCCAUCUCUAAUUGGAGCGUAUCCCUCUGCCCUGUCCCUAUCACACUAUGGCGGAGGCAGGAUGCUGCGCUAAUGGAUGGCCCCCCCAUGGCGCGCGUGUCCUUGAUGUGCGAGGCCGACGGAGGCCCACGCUGAGCGGAGACUGCAGAUUAGACGCAAAUCGGAAGAUUUGUUUGUCCUCUCCGCGCGGGCGGGACAUUCAAGGAGAGGGACCGGCCGCGGCUGUGAUGGAGUGGGGUGGACCGCUGCGACAGAUGUGUGUUAGUGUGACUGAUGCGCUCUGGGUGAGCGGGCCGCACCGGGUCACCGACACCUGGAGAAUGAACACGAGCCCGUCCAGGAAACGCCCGAGAAUACUGAUGAUGUUUGCUUCGAUCAGCGUCCAACAGGCAAACAAGCCGACCAAAGGCAGCUAUGUGUGAUAACACCUUGGGUGAAGAUUUAGGAGAAGACAACGACGUUGUAAUUACCUGUGCUAAAUUGGAACUGUGGAUGCUCAAUGAGCUAUAAACAAGGUUACUCUGAUCCCCUUGGGGUAAUUGUUUCGAAAACCUGCAACAGUCUGGUCCAGUGAUGGAGAAAUUGGAAGGCGUGGUAUCCUGUAAUUUCUCACACCACUGAAGCGUGGCCUGUGUGUGGGCUAAAACUGAGGUUGAUUUGAAAUGGAGGCACAACUUCUCGUUCCCCCCCCCCCGUGCUGCAGGAAUCCAAGCCGUCGGCUCCGGCCCGAGGACGGCGGGGCCCUGGGGGUCAGCGGGCGACGGCCGCCGAGGCCUUCACGAUUCAGCGACCGGCACAUUUGCAUCACACAACACGUCUCCCGUUAUGGAUACGGCGCCCGCCUGCAAAUCGUAUUGUGCUGGAAUACAUUCACAGGGAGCCGCAGGCGCAGAGGAAGAGGAGGCGCCGGGAAACGGCCUCAUCCGACGGGAUGCGGGACGCCGCGGGCGACCGGUCGCCUCUCACACACACUGACCCUCACUACGACCGGAGAAAACGGCCUCAAAUAGGAUGUUGCACCGGCCGAUAUGGAGCUGGAGGUUUAUUUGCAAAUCCACAGACAUUUGAUAAUGAUCCUUCCCUCAACUUAAAAAACUUAAGUCACCGGCUUCAGCAGCCGCUGCCAUUAAUAACAUAUUAACGAUGUUCGUCUGCUUCAACAUUAUAAUAUUUUUGCAGGGGCUCAAUUUUAAAUCCAUCACGAGGACUCAUUACUACUAUGCAGCUGAGGAAUUAUGGGAACAAGGCCCUUCGCUGGCUGUCUGUCACGACAACACUGUCAGAUGUGCUUAGGCUGGGGGGGCUGUUAAAAGGAGCACGGGGACUUAUCUGCUCAGCUGUAAAAUGAUUUUCUGUCUCUGCAAGACAUACUGGGAGUGUGUGUGCGGGGGGUAUCAGUGAUCUGAGAGUAAUUAAGAUAUGGGCUCACAUCACACAAGGGCUUUGCACGUGGGAGACGGGCAGAUAAAAUUGAAUGUAAAAUAGUUGAGUUUAAAGGGGGAGUUUGAUUAAUUAUAAAACUCUCAGAGGACGGUCCACCCCCUCUUGAAUUGUAUUGCCAUCCAAAAGGCGCUGCGCUGCGGCUGAUGACCCAAACACCUCUCCUUUAUCUGUCGCAGGCAGGUUAUCUUCAUUUCAGCCCAUCCAUUUGCUGUACUGCUUUUUCUGCGCGACUGGAAUGCGUCAUUAUCUUCAUAUCAAGCUGCUCCACAUAAAGAUUUUCUUUAAAUGCUAAGACAAUUGUGUGCUGAAUGGAAGUUCAAUUGUGGUUAUGACACAUAGCCUAUCUGCAGCGGUCCUUUCACCACGCUCAGUGUCAUUACUAAAGAUGCUGAUUCCAGGCUUCGGCCAAUGAUAUAUCACUCUGGAAACCGCUGACAAUGACGUUCUGCUUCAUCCCAAAAUUAAGGAAAUACACUUAAUCACUUUCUGUCUUCGGGGGCUUUGAGUGGCUUAAUGUAUGCGUCUGUGUGAUAAUGUGCCUUUUGCCAGUUGACAGGAUAGUGUAAUGUGAUUUAAUGUAAUGUUUUCCCAUUGGUGCUGCUGGGCUCGGGGCUCCAGCCGGCGUUGGUUAGCGCAGCCUAGCUCGCAGCCCGGGAGCAGAGGCGGCUCAGGGGCGGCCGGCCUUCCAGCAGCUCAACAAAUGCUAAAUGAUCAAAACCACAAUGCUCCUUUUUACAGGGGUUUAUGUACCAAGCCACUUCUUGCCCCCGAGCAGUUGCUAAGCAACCAGCCGAGACCCCAGUAAAGAACGCCAGAAAUCAGCCUGGAGCAGGAGCCAACUCCAGGGAGAAAACCAGUUAAUUGUAAAUUUCCCCCAUAUAUAAUAUUAAUUGUAAAUUAAUGAGCGGAUUUUGUUACCUUUCCACGGCUCACUUUCCAGUUUGUCAGGCUUUGCUAACCAGUUGCCGUCUGUUCCUUUACAAUAAAUUGACUCCCGUGA